rnacentral:rRNA from 1 species
UACGUAGGGUGCGAGCGUUGCCCGGAUUUAUUGGGCGUAAAGGGCGCGUAGGCGGCCACGCACGUCCGUUGUGAAAUCGCCCGGCUCAACUGGGCGGGGUCAGCGGAUACGGUGUGGCUCGAGCAAGCUAGGGGGCAAUGGAAUUCCCGGUGUAGUGGUGGAAUGCGUAGAUAUCGGGAGGAACACCAGUGGCGAAGGCGGUUGCCUGGAGCUUUGCUGACGCUGAUGCGCGAAAGCGUGGGGAGCGAGUCGG